rnacentral:rRNA from 1 species
GGCUUACACAUGCAAGUCGAGGGGUAACAGGAGUAGCUUGCUACUUGCUGACGACCGGCGCACGGGUGCGUAACGCGUAUGGAAUCUACCUUAUACUGGGGGAUAGCCUUUGGAAACGAAGAUUAAUACCCCAUAGUAAGUAUUUGUGGCAUCACAGAUAUUUUAAAGGUUACGGUAUAAGAUGACCAUGCGUCCUAUUAGUUUGUAGGUGAGGUAACGGCUCACCUAGACUACGAUAGGUAGGGGCCCUGAGAGGGGGAUCCCCCACACUGGUACUGAGACACGGACCAGACUCCUACGGGAGGCAGCAGUGAGGAAUAUUGGACAAUGGAGGAGACUCUGAUCCAGCCAUGCCGCGUGCAGGAAGACGGCCCUAUGGGUUGUAAACUGCUUUUAUACAGGAAGAAACACUCCCUCGUGAGGGAGCUUGACGGUACUGUAAGAAUAAGGACCGGCUAACUCCGUGCCAGCAGCCGCGGUAAUACGGAGGGUCCGAGCGUUAUCCGGAAUCAUUGGGUUUAAAGGGUCCGUAGGCGGAUGGUUAAGUCAGUGGUGAAAGUCUGUAGCUCAACUAUAGAAUUGCCAUUGAUACUGAUCAUCUUGAAUCGUUGUGAAGUGGUUAGAAUAAGUAGUGUAGCGGUGAAAUGCAUAGAUAUUACUUAGAAUACCGAUUGCGAAGGCAGAUCACUAACAACGUAUUGACGCUGAGGGACGAAAGCGUGGGGAGCGAACAGGAUUAGAUACCCUGGUAGUCCACGCCGUAAACGAUGGAUACUAGCUGUUCGAUCUUCGGAUUGAGUGGCUAAGCGAAAGUGAUAAGUAUCCCACCUGGGGAGUACGUUCGCAAGAAUGAAACUCAAAGGAAUUGACGGGGGCCCGCACAAGCGGUGGAGCAUGUGG